rnacentral:rRNA from 1 species
UACGUAGGGAGCAAGCGUUGUCCGGAAUCAUUGGGCGUAAAGCGCGCGUAGGUGGCCACAUAAGUCCGUUGUGAAAGUCAAAGGCUCAACCUUUGAAAGCCGAUGGAUACUGUGUGGCUAGAGUACGGAAGAGGCGAGUGGAAUUCCUGGUGUAGCGGUGGAAUGCGCAGAUAUCAGGAGGAACACCAAUAGCGAAGGCAGCUCGCUGGGACGUUACUGACACUGAGGUGCGAAAGCUAGGGGAGCGAACGGG